GACGAACGCUGGCGGCGUGCCCAAUACAUGCAAGUCGAGCGAUGAUUAAAGAUAGCUUGCUAUUUUUAUGAAGAGCGGCGAACGGGUGAGUAACGCGUGGGAAAUCUGCCGAGUAGCGGGGGACAACGUUUGGAAACGAACGCUAAUACCGCAUAACAAUGAGAAUCGCAUGAUUCUUAUUUGAAAGAAGCAAUUGCUUCACUACUUGAUGAUCCCGCGUUGUAUUAGCUAGUUGGUAGUGUAAAGGACUACCAAGGCGAUGAUACAUAGCCGACCUGAGAGGGUGAUCGGCCACACUGGGACUGAGACACGGCCCAGACUCCUACGGGAGGCAGCAGUAGGGAAUCUUCGGCAAUGGGGGCAACCCUGACCGAGCAACGCCGCGUGAGUGAAGAAGGUUUUCGGAUCGUAAAACUCUGUUGUUAGAGAAGAACGUUAAGUAGAGUGGAAAAUUACUUAAGUGACGGUAUCUAACCAGAAAGGGACGGCUAACUACGUGCCAGCCGCCGCUGUAA
rnacentral:rRNA from 1 species